rnacentral:rRNA from 1 species
CCGCGUGAGGGAUGACGGCCUUCGGGUUGUAAACCUCUUUCAGCCCUGACGAAGCGAAAGUGACGGUAGGGGCAGAAGAAGCACCGGCCAACUACGUGC